rnacentral:lncRNA from 1 species
CACCCAUUCCUCCACCUUCUUCCCUUCCUCCUCAAUCAUUUCUCUUUUUCCUCUUCCUCCUCCAAACUGUCUAUAAACCAACCUCCUCCACGGCGGCUUCCUUCAUCUCUACUCUUUCUUGUUGGCAACCCAUCUUUCCUCCUCUCCUUUCUCCCUUUUUUGCUAACAAUCCAUUUUUCUCCCUCCCCUUCCUCCCCAUCCUC